ACGGGACACCUGCAUCUGCCAACAAGACUGGAAGCAGGUGAGGCACACAGAGGGGGAGGCCCGCAGCUGCGUGGGAGGAGGGGUGGUCUGAGGGACGUGGGAUGCCGGGAAUGAGGCUGGUUUGCAGGUUGGCGCAUGGACAUUUUCCCAGAAAGGGACAGAGACGGCGAAGUUUGACGGUCUGGAAAGCAGAGACCAGCAGGGCUGACUGCUUGGGAGGUAAGUUCUGGGGACAUGGUACAGGGUGAGGAGCAGGUAUCAGUGCUAGUUGCGACCCCUCUGUGUCUCCCCCCCGCCACCCCAUUGCCAUUCUGAAGCUCCCCAGGAAGAAGCUAGGAGGGGAAAUAAAUUGAGUGGGGGUGGGGUUUCCCAAGAAUCGGAGGAACCGAGAACGAAGAGGGGUGGGGGAACGGGGAAAGAGAGAGGAAAAUCAAGUUUUCUUCAGCACGAGGGACAGCUCUCCACCGACCGAAGGAGGAGAAUGCUAUUUAUUUCAGCACCAAAUAUCCGGACAGCGCCUCUCGGGAGGUCCGAGAAGAGAACCGCGAUCUGUUUCAGCACCGGGGCUCAGGACAGUUCCCAGCGGGCUCCGUUUCGUCUCCAGAACCCUGGACAGCUCCUCCAGACUUCGGUGAGAAACCUUGUGCCAAGCAUUUUACAUACAUCAUAUCAUGCCAUCUUCAACCCUAGGACAUGGGUGUUACUGUGCCCAUGUGACAUUUGGGGAACCCAAGGCCCUGAGAAAGGCAGAAAAAUAACCCACGCAGGGACUCUCAGCCCACAAGUGAAGCUGUAAGUCAACCCCACCAGUCCAACUCCAAAUCCCAUGUCUCUGACGUGCCUGGGUGGGAGGUGGGCCCUUGGAGAUCAGACCCUGCUUCUCUCCAGGAGAACCGGGAAUGGAAAACAGGGAGGCAGCACAGAGGCAGGAAACUCAGGUGUCAUAGCUUGGCUCAGGUGAGAAGGAGGAGCUGGGCAGGGGUCUCAGACAUGGGGCAGAGGGUGGUGAAGAAGAUUAGAGUGGCUGUGGUCUAGUGCUGUGUGGAAGACUAGUGAUUUUGUUGUUCUGAUGUACUACGACAACAAGUCACAGCCGGCCUCAUAGCGCAGACUCCCUUCGACCUUCGCCUUCAAUGGGCUGGCCAGUGGGGGAGAACCGGGGAGGUCGGGGAAGAAUCGCUUCCACUCGGAGUGGGGGGGCUGGCUCACUCCAGGCGAUACAGGCACAGGCAAAGGAGGGAAGCAAACAAGGACAUACAUCCUGUGCUCAUACAGCCAUGCACCAUGUAUGGGGUUUGUCACAUCACUCGUACGCCCCCACAAGCCUGGAGAUAGAACAUACCUGACUCUAAACCCAAGACCUCUAACCACCUUAUGGCGCUUUCCUGGGAGACCCAAUGAGGGAAUGACAUUUAAAGCCCUCCCUAGACCAGAGUUCUCAGGGUACUUUUCUAUUAAAAAAAAAAUUAUUAUUUUUUUGGCCGGGUGGCUCACGCCUGUCAUCCCAGCACUUUGGGAGGCCAAGGCAGGUGGACCACUUGAGGCCAGGAGUUCAAGACCAGCCUGGACAACAUGGUGAAACUCCAUUUCUCCUAAAAAUACAAAAAUUAGCUGGGCGUUGUGGCACACACCUGUAGUCCCAGCUACUCGGGAGGCUGAGGCAUGGGAAUCCCUUGAACCCAGGAGGCAGAGGCUGCAUGACCCAAGAUUGCACCACUGCACUCCAGCCUG
rnacentral:lncRNA from 10 species